rnacentral:rRNA from 1 species
GACGAACGCUGGCGGCGUGCUUAACACAUGCAAGUGGAGCGACGAACCGGGGCUUGCCCCGGGGCAGAGCCGCGAACGGGUGAGUAACACGUGGGUAACCUGCCUCAAUGAUUGGGACAACCCGGGGAAACUCGGGCUAAUACCAAAUGUGUUCACUCCUUCUAAGGGGGAGUGAGGAAAGGAAGCUUCGGCCUCCGCAUUGAGAUGGGGCCCGCGGCCCAUUAGCUUGUUGGUGAGGUAACGGCUCACCAAGGCUUCGAUGGGUAGCUGGUCUGAGAGGACGAUCAGCCACACUGGGACUGAGACACGGCCCAGACUCCUACGGGAGGCAGCAGUGGGAAUCUUGCACAAUGCGCGAAAGCGUGAUGCAGCAACGCCGCGUGGGGGAAA